CGCGUGCACUGGUUCGGCCGGGCCUUUCCCUCUGGGGAGCCGCAUGCCCUUCACUGGGUGUGUCGGGGAACCAGGACUUUUACUUUGAACAAAUUAGAUCGCUUAAAGAAGGCCUAUGCUCGAAUACAUUAGCAUGGAAUAAUAGAAUAGGACGCGUGGUUCUAUUUUGUUGGUUUCUAGGACCGCCGUAAUGAUUAAUAGGGACAGUCGGGGGCAUCAGUAUUCAAUUGUCAGAGGUGAAAUUCUUGGAUUUAUUGAAGACUAACUACUGCGAAAGCAUUUGCCAAGGAUGUUUUCAUUAAUCAGGAACGAAAGUUAGGGGAUCGAAGACGAUCAGAUACCGUCGUAGUCUUAACCAUAAACUAUGCCGACUAGGGAUCGGACGAUGUUAUAUUUUGACUCGUUCGGCACCUUACACGAAAGUAAAGUUUCUGGGUUCUGGGGGGAGUAUGGUCGCAAGGCUGAAACUUAAAGAAAUUGACGGAAGGGCACCACCAGGGGUGGAGCCUGCGGCUUAAUUUGACUCAACGCGGGGAAACUCACCAGGUCCAGACACAAGUAGGAUUGACAGAUUGAGAGCUCUUUCUUGAUUUUGUGGGUGGUGGUGCAUGGCCGUUCUUAGUUGGUGGAGUGAUUUGUCUGCUUAAUUGCGAUAACGAACGAGACCUUAACCUGCUAAAUAGCCCGCAUUGCUUUGGCAGUGCGCCGGCUUCUUAGAGGGACUAUCGG
rnacentral:rRNA from 1 species